UCAGUGGAACUUUGUGUGACACUUCCGGUU
rnacentral:piRNA from 1 species